rnacentral:rRNA from 1 species
UAGAUACCCCACUAUGCCUAGCCGUAAAAAAUUAAUUACAGAACCAAGCGCCAGGAUACUACGAGCUUUAGCUUGAAAUCCAAGGGACUUGACGGUGUUCUACCCCCCUAGAGGAGCCUGUCCUACAAUCGAUGAUCCCCGCUACACCCAACCAUUUCUUGCCUUUCAGCCUGUAUACCUCCGUCGCCAGCCCGCCGUGUGAGCGUUAGUGCUUCUGGCCCAAUGAUCAGCCUAAUAAAUACGUCAGGUCAAGGUGCAGCCUAUGAAAUGGAAUGAGAUGGGCUACAAUUUCUAAUUUAGAACAUACGGAAACCCUAUAUGAAGUAUAGCUUUGAAGGUGGAUUUAGUAGUAAAAAGAAAUUAGCGUGUUCUUUUUAACCAGGCGCUGGAACGCGUACACACCGCCG